rfam:Steinernema glaseri strain NC unplaced genomic scaffold GLAS_7224, whole genome shotgun sequence.
GGGGGUAUAGCUCAGUGGUAGAGCGCUCGCUUCGCAUGUGAAGAAGUCCGGGGUUCAAACCCCCGUACCUCCA